UAAGAGAAAAAUGAAAAAAGAAAGAAAUUGAGGAUGCAUCUGGCGGGUAAAGAUAAUGCUUUCUUCCAUGGCUGUCAUCCUUUCUUUUAUUAAAUGAAGCGCUCAAUCAUGAGCUGCAGCUCAGCGCUUCAUAAAAGAAAGGUUAAGACAGCCGAUGGAAGCAUUAUCCCGCCAGAUCAUUUUCUUUGAUCAAAAGUUAAUUGACCGACCUCAAUAAAGAAAAGAAAAGAACCAUCGGUCGGUCUAUAAUUAACUUUUGAUUUAAAGAAAAUGUUAUGUCCCAGCAUUACCUGACGGUUGACUCUUAAGAAAAGAUGAGAUUUGUUAUCAUGACAGGCGUUCAAUCGCUCCUUCAAGAGCUCUUAGACGAUGAACGCCUGGUCAGGAUAACACUCAUCUUUUCACGAGUCUAACCGCCAGUGCUGGGACACAAUCCAGAGUCUUAUGAUUUCAUCUCCAAGAUUCCCCGCAUAAUCAAUAUUAAUUUUUCUUUAAUGAAUGCGGGGAUAAUCUUGGGAUUGAAAUCAAAG
rnacentral:ribozyme from 11 species